UUCCGGUUGAUCCCGCCGGACCCCACUGCUAUCGAGAUGGGACUAAGGUAUGCUAGUCGAACGACCAGAACUAUGUCUGGAAGUGGCACACUGCUCAGUAACACGUAGCUAACCUACCCUUAGGACGUGGAUACCCCCGAGAAAUUGGGGUUAAUCCGCGAUAGAUGUAAUGUCCUGGAAUGGUAUUACGUCUAAAGGUAUUUCAUACAUGUUUGAAAUAUGCCUAAGGAUGGGGCUGCGGCCGAUCAGGCUGUUGGUGAGGUAAUGGCUCACCAAACCUUUGACCGGUACGGGCCAUGAGAGUGGUAGCCCGGAGAUGGACACUGAGACAAGGGUCCGGGCCCUAAGGGGCGCAGCAACCGCGAAACCUCCACAAUGCACUCACGUGCGAUGGGGCUAUCUCGAGUGCCACCUGAUGAAGGUGGCUUUUCCUAGGUCUUCAAAGCCUUGGGAAUAAGAGGGGGGCAAGACUGGUGUCAGCCGCCGCGGUAACACCAGCCCCUCGAGUGGUGGGGAUGAUUAUUUGGCCUAAAGCGUCCGUAGCCGGCCGAGCAAGUCUUCCGUUAAAUCCAGCGUCUCAAGCGUUGGACCGCGGGAGAUACUACACGGCUAGAGAGUGGGAGAGGUCAGCGGUAUUCUGGGGGUAGGGGCGAAAUCCUUUGAUCCCCGGAGGACCACCAGUGGCGAAGGCUGCUGACUAGAACACGUCUGACGGUCAGGGACGAAAGCUGGGGUAGCGAACCGGAUUAGAUACCCGGGUAGUCCCAGCCGUAAACGAUGCAUGCUAGGUGUUGGGUUGGCCACGAGCCACCCCAGUGCCGCA
rnacentral:rRNA from 1 species